rnacentral:tRNA from 1 species
GGUCGUGUAAUGUAGUGGUUAACAUUCCUGAUUUUGAUUCAGGUCACCUGGGUUCGAAUCCCAGCAUGACCU